CGGCGUGUAGCGCAGCCCGGUAGCGCACUACGUUCGGGACGUAGGGGUCGCAGGUUCAAAUCCUGCCACGCCGAC
rnacentral:tRNA from 1 species